rnacentral:misc_RNA from 1 species
UUUCCGUAGGUGAACCUGCGGAGGGAUCUUUAUGGUAAAACCAAGGCACAAGGCCUUGCGCUCACCUGACAGUUCUGCCACGCCCGAGUGCCCUCCCGCACAUCCAUCUCACCCCUAUGUGCACCACCGCUUGGAUCCGACUUUACCUUUUAGUGAGAUGAGCUAACGGUUUCAACUAAAAUUUGUGUGCAUUGUAGAUUGUAUCUUUUUUUUUUACGAUCACGCAAGCAAUACAACUUUCAAGAACGCAUCUCUUGGCUCUCGCAUUGAUAAAGAACG